UGGGAAUGAUGAUGGCCAAGCCGAUGGUCUUGAAGUACUUCUUGUACAUCUCCAACUUCACCUGUUGUAGAAAAACACAAACACCAGUCAAUCUCAAGGAAUCAGAUAACUUGGUCUCUGGAGAAUGGCAUGAAGUCGACCAUGCUGAGACGAGCAUUGGACCUCCUGGAACCAGCUUCAAGAAAAGGACAGUUUUUUGCGCUCUCUUUUCGCUCUGUGCUGGCGAAGGUGUGGAUGAAGUCAGCAAAGGCGCCAUGGCGACUAAGGAGCUCCUGGUAGGAACCGCUCUCUGUGAUUUCUCCAUCUACCAGGACGAGGAUAUGGUCAGCCUGCGGCAGGAAGCUCAUCCCAUGGGUCACCAGGAUGCGGGUCUGCAUAGCAAGCCACACAAGUCAGAAAAAUAGGAUCAUCUCCGGCAGGUAGGAUGUCCAGGUCGGGCAGCAGUGCGCAGGCCUCCAGCACUCGGUGGUACCAUGUCUUCAGUUUCUCACGGCCAAAUAUGAUGUUGUCUUGGACUGUGGCGUUCUGGAUCCAGGCCUGCUGGGGCACAUACGCCACAGAGCCCUGCAAAGACAGAUGUCAAAAGAGAGGCUCAUGGCGGACAACAAAGAGGACUUUCCACUGCCCACAUGUCCGACCACAGCAACGAGGGAACCUCGUGGCACAUGGACGUUGAUCCUG